rnacentral:rRNA from 1 species
GAUGAACGCUGGCGGCGUGCCUAAUACAUGCAAGUCGAGCGAACGGACGAGAAGCUUGCUUCUCUGAUGUUAGCGGCGGACGGGUGAGUAACACGUGGAUAACCUACCUAUAAGACUGGGAUAACUUCGGGAAACCGGAGCUAAUACCGGAUGAUAUUUUGAACCGCAUGGUUCAAAAGUGAAAGACGGUCUUGCUGUCACUUAUAGAUGGAUCCGCGCUGCAUUAGCUAGUUGGUAAGGUAACGGCUUACCAAGGCAACGAUGCAUAGCCGACCUGAGAGGGUGAUCGGCCACCCUGGAACUGAGACACGGUCCAGACUCCUACGGGAGGCAGCAGUAGGGACUCUUCCGCAAUGGGCGAAAGCCUGACGGAGCAACGCCGCGUGAGUGAUGAAGGUCUUCGGAUCGUAAAACUCUGUUAUUAGGGAAGAACAUAUGUGUAAGUAACUGUGCACAUCUUGACGGUACCUAAUCAGAAAGCCACGGCUAACUACGUG